AUUGAACGCUGGCGGCAGGCCUAACACAUGCAAGUCGAACGGUAACAGGAAGAAGCUUGCUUCUUUGCUGACGAGUGGCGGACGGGUGAGUAAUGUCUGGGAAACUGCCUGAUGGAGGGGGAUAACUACUGGAAACGGUAGCUAAUACCGCAUAAUGUCGCAAGACCAAAGAGGGGGACCUUCGGGCCUCUUGCCAUCGGAUGUGCCCAGAUGGGAUUAGCUAGUAGGUGGGGUAACGGCUCACCUAGGCGACGAUCCCUAGCUGGUCUGAGAGGAUGACCAGCCACACUGGAACUGAGACACGGUCCAGACUCCUACGGGAGGCAGCAGUGGGGAAUAUUGCACAAGGGGCGCAAGCCUGAUGCAGCUAUGCCGCGUGUAUGAAGAAGGCCUUCGGGUUGUAAAGUACUUUCAGCGGGGAGGAAGGGAGUAAAGUUAAUACCUUUGCUCAUUGACGUUACCCGCAGAAGAAGCACCGGCUAACUCCGU
rnacentral:rRNA from 1 species